GUGACGGUACCUACAAAAGAANCACCGGCUAACUAUGUGCCANCNNCCGCGGUAAUACAUAGGGUGCAAGCGUUGUCCGGAAUUAUUGGGCGUAAAGAGCUCGUANGUCGUUUGUUACGUCGGANGUGAAAACCUGAGGCUCAACCUCANGCCUGCAUUCNAUACNGGCAAACUANAGUUUGGUAGGGGAGACUGGAAUUCCUGGUGUAGCGGUGGAAUGCNCAGAUNUCANGAGGAACACCAAUGGCNAAGGCNGGUCUCUGGGCCAAUACUGACACUGAGGAGCGAAAGUCUGGGGAGCGAACAGGAUUAGAUACCCUGGUAGUCCANACCGUAAACGGUGGGCACUAGUUGUGGGAACCUUCCACGGUUUCUGCGACGCAGCUAACGCAUUAANUGCCCCGCCUGGGGAGUACGAUCGCAAGAUUAAAACUCAAANGAAUUGACG
rnacentral:rRNA from 1 species